rnacentral:tRNA from 1 species
CCGACCUUAGCUCAGUUGGAAGAGCGCGAGACUGUAAUGGUUAUCAUAAUCUUGAGGUCGCCUGUUCGAGCCAGGCAGGUCGGA